rnacentral:rRNA from 1 species
GUGGGGAAUAUUGGACAAUGGGGGGAACCCUGAUCCAGCCAUGCCGCGUGUGUGAAGAAGGCCUUUUGGUUGUAAAGCACUUUAAGCGAGGAGGAGGCUCUUGUAGAUAAUACCUACAAUGAGUGGACGUUACUCGCAGAAUAAGCACCGGCUAACUCUGUGCCAGCAGCCGCGGUAAUACAGAGGGUGCAAGCGUUAAUCGGAUUUACUGGGCGUAAAGCGUGCGUAGGCGGCUGAUUAAGUUGGAUGUGAAAUCCCCGAGCUUAACUUGGGAAUUGCAUUCAAGACUGGUCGGCUAGAGUAUGGGAGAGGAUGGUAGAAUUCCAGGUGUAGCGGUGAAAUGCGUAGAGAUCUGGAGGAAUACCGAUGGCGAAGGCAGCCAUCUGGCCUAAUACUGACGCUGAGGUACGAAAGCAUGGGGAGCAAACAGGAUUAGAUACCCUAGUAGUCC